CACAGACUGGAUAUACGACCGUGUGAUCAUCUGAGUUGACGGAGUAGAGAAGAAAGAACACAACAGGGCAGCUUGAAGUCAAACAACAGCAGUGAUGAGGCGUCUUGUCAUCCUACUCCUGAUGGCCUGGCUCAGUAGAAAGAAUUCAACAACCAUGGCCUCUGGCAUGAAACACAACGCAAGCUGCCCAUACCACUACAUUAAGGAACCAAAGAGCUAUGAUGAAGCUAAAAGAUACUGCAAAGAGAAAUACACUGACCUGGCCACCAUCACUGACGACAAAAUUCCUGACUGUGUUAAAGAUACAGUAAAUCAGAAUCAGGUAUGGGUAUCUUUGCAAGAUGCAGACAGAGGUGGCAGUGCAGGCAAUAAGUGUCAAGCAAUCAUUAACCAG